GUGUCAUGAUGAAACCCAUGCGUGUCAGCUGACUCUGCGACCCCCCUCAUGGAGACACUGGAGUUGGCGUUCUGUUGACUGGAGUGUCCUCUGUGACGGGGACUCAGAGAUAUGAUCAUACAUCACUAGACUGAACGC